GCUUGAGUGUGGUUUGCAAAGUAAACGGACUCUAAUUUGGACAAAUACUGCUGUGGCCUGGGACCUAAGCAAGAUAAAGCAGCGAGGAUGUGUUGACAUGGAUGUUUCCCUGGGCCCAAGAUCAGCACCUGCCUCACAGGGUCGCCGUGGAGACAGUCGUGGGCAGAGCACGGUGGCUGGCCUAUGGCGAAUGCUACGGAAAGCAGCUGAUUUCGUUUUCUGCGUUGCUGCCAACAGAUUCCUCCUGAGAGCGCUUCCUCCGACGGUGGCUUGCUGGCCCCGGACACUGCUUCUCGGGGCCCUGUCCUAGGUGGCCACCAUUGCCAGGCUCCGGUGAUACCACAGUGAAGAAGCAGUGGCCCCUGCCCCACGGAGCCUGUAUUCUAUAGGGGAGGUGUGACCAGCAAAGAGACUAUCAGAGUAAGAAACUCCACGGAGGUUAGCUCUGAGGCAGCGUGAGAGCUCGUAGGCUGGCCCCCAUGGCAGGAAAGGGGCUUUCAGGAGGAAGAGACACCUAUGCCAGGACCUCCCGGGCCAGUAGGCAUUAGCCAGCAAAGCAGUAAUAAAGGCUGUGCUGGGAGGAGACAGGCCCAGGGAGGGGGCUGGGAACAUUUGAAUGGCGUGAAGAUUUGAAUGGUGGCCCAGUAAGCAAGGAGAGCAUUUGCCAGCUCUAGAGUUGCCCAUCAUCCUUUCCUCCAAGACCGCAGAGGUGACCCCUGAGCAGAGUCAUGGCAACACAGCGGGCACUCCCUGAGGCUGUCCCCUGGGAGUACUCUGUCAGGGGAAGGUAGGUGCGGUGACCUUCACACAGUGAUCCCUUCCCAGGCACUUCCUCCCCAGGGCUCUGACCACAGUGAACCUCUGCCCUCCUUCCCACCUGCUGCAGAAAGACUCACAAGGUGCAAAUGCUAUGUGAUUCCACUUAUAGGAGGCCCUGGAGCAGUCAGAUUCCGAGAGACGGAGAGCAGGACCGGUGAUGCGGGAUGGGGUGGGGGUUGCCAGGAGCUGGGAACAGGGGAUGGGGAUUUGGUUUCAUGGGGACAGUUUCAGUUGGGGUCGAUGGUCAAGUCCUGGAGAUGGAUGGUGGUGAUGGUUGCACAACAGUGGGAAUGUACUUAAUGCCACUGAACUGUUCGCUUAAAAGUGACUAAAAUGGUAGGUUUCGUCUUAUGUAUAUUUAACCACAACAAUCAUGAUAAAAAGAAUAAGGCUGUUGUCUCAAUCUACACUCUGGGUAUUGAGUGAUGUUGCUUCUUACAGUAUAAGACUAAGAAGUUACUUGAGACCUUUCUUUUUUUUUUUUUGAGAUACGUUUUUAAAGACCUCAUUUGUUAUCAGAAAGUAGAUGAGGAAAUCAUUGGAUCUCCCCAGUCAUGUGGUUAGUUCUGACAACCCCGGGCUGCUUCUGUCAUGAUUCAUUCCCCCCGAUAAAACCCAUUCUGGUGAUCUAAAUCUCCUCCACUGCCACCUUUCUAGAAUUGCACCGAAGGUGAUUAAGACAAAUACUAACAGUGAUCCCUAUUUGGAGUUCACAGAACAUCUAUGUCGUUGUGGGAGCUUCAUUCACAACCGGAGCAGAGACAAGGGCGCUGUCUUCCUGUGAGCUCCAUCAGGGCAUGGGGUAUUCCUUCUCGAUCUCAGCCCCCAGGUCCACUGCAGGGACUGACAUGGAGGAGGGGCUCAGGGGAUGUCUCAGGAUGGAAGGAGGGAGGGGGAGCGGGAGAAGGGAGGGGCGGCUCCCAGAUAACCCGGGGCCUAGCUCCUCCUUGUUCAGAUACAGGGACAUUUGGUCCAAGCCAGAGAGGUUAAGUCCAAAGCCACAUGCUUUAGCUAGGUGAGCGAUGACCCUGACUGGGGUCAGAACCAGGCCUCCUGGUCCCUAAUCCAAGACUGCUCCCACUGUGUCAUCCUAAAAUUUGAUACUUGAGACUC